CGUAGAGUUUGAUCCUGGCGUCAGGAUGAACGCUGGCGGCGUGCUUAACACAUGCAAGUCGAACGGAACAACCCUUGAAGGAGUUUUCGGACAACAGAUAGGACUGUUUAGUGGCGGACGGGUGAGUAACGCGUGAGUAACCUGCCUUGGAGUGGGGAAUAACAGCUGGAAACAGCUGCUAAUACCGCAUAAUAUGUCUGAAUCGCAUGGUUCUGGACAUCAAAGAUUUAUCGCUCUGAGAUGGACUCGCGUCUGAUUAGCUGGUUGGCGGGGUAACGGCCCACCAAGGCGACGAUCAGUAGCCGGACUGAGGGGUUGGCCGGCCACAUUGGGACUGAGACACGGCCCAGACUCCUACGGGAGGCAGCAGUGGGGAAUAUUGGGCAAUGGGCGCAAGCCUGACCCAGCAACGCCGCGUGAAGGAAGAAGGCUUUCGGGUUGUAAACUUCUUUUCUCAGGGACGAAGCAAGUGACGGUACCUGAGGAAUAAGCCACGGCUAACUACGUG
rnacentral:rRNA from 1 species